rnacentral:lncRNA from 1 species
AAUUAAUAUGAUUUUAAACUAAAAAUAGAUAGGGCUAAGUUGGAUUGUGAAGGAGGCAUAAGGGUCAUGAUCCAUUACUAAGUGGUUAGCGCGCGCAUACUGCUUGUAGAAAAGAAUACAACAAUGCUGAUGGUUUCUCCCAAAACGAUUUCGAUAAUAAAAACCAAAGUUAAAACCAAAACAAUUUUGAUAAUAAAAACCAAAGUUAAUGAAGAAAAAAAUAAUUUUACCAGUUCAUUGUUGCCUCGAUUUAUGUUAUCUUUCUCACUUAUAGCAUACUAAAACAUGUCUUUUACCUUUGGGUUGAAUCAAAGAGAAAUAUUUCCUCCAUCCUAAAAUAUAAUAAAGAGACACUUCACUCGCAAAAGAUGCAUGUACCCCUACCCCGAGUUAAUUAUAACGUGGAGAGUUGUGUUGAUGGCAUCAGGGAAAACAAUAAGUCCAC